UACGGGAGGCAGCAGGUGGGGAAUAUUGCACAAUGGGCGCAAGCCUGAUGCAGCCAUGCCGCGUGUAUGAAGAAGGCCUUCGGGUUGUUAAAGUACUUUCAGUCGUGAGGAAGGUGUUAAGGUUAAUAACCUUAGCAAUUGACGUUAGCGACAGAAGAAGCACCGGCUAACUCCGUGCCAGCAGCCGCGGUAAUACGGAGGGUGCGAGCGUUAAUCGGAAUUACUGGGCGUAAAGGGCACGCAGGCGGUUAAUUAAGUUGGAUGUGAAAUCCCCGGGCUUAACCUGGGAAUGGCAUUCAAGACUGGUUAGCUAGAGUCUUGUAGAGGGGGUAGAAUUCCAUGUGUAGCGGUGAAAUGCGUAGAGAUGUGGAGGAAAUACCGGUGGGCGAAGGCGGCCCCCUGGGCAAAGGACUGACGCUCA
rnacentral:rRNA from 1 species